UCGCAAGGCACACAGGCCCAGGUGGCCUUUCUCCCGCUCCUGGGGGACUGUGCUGGAGCCGGGAGAAGGCGGAAGGAGGGGUGAGGGCAGGCAGGCCAUCGCGAAGCACUUUUCUAGAAGGCAGUUUUGCUCUGAAAUCUCAGCAGCCCGGUGAGCAGAACCGUCUGCCUAUGUCUGGAGGCCACGCACUGAGCACCACUGGACUUGGUUAACAAGCAAGGUCCUUCCUCACGGGGGACCCAAGGGCACGGAGAGGCCAUCCCGGGGAAAGGAAACAGGGACCACCAACGCACGCAAGAGGUGGCCAAGCUCACUGGCAAUCAAGGGCGUCCAAGCCAGACCCACCAGACGGCAGAGCACACGGGCCUCCCUGCCACUCGGUGCCCUCCUUCCCCACAGGGGCGUAUGCGGUGCUGCCCCUCGGAGGGGGCCGGGCAGAGGCCCACCGAAUGUGAGCCCCCAUUUCCUCCCGAUCCCGGAAACGCAGCCCAGGAACCGGCAGACGGAGGGAGGGACGGCUGGAGGCGUGUGGUGCCCGCGGGCUGUGGACAGCAGGCAGAGCUCGCGGAUGUGUGUCCACGUGCGUGAUCACAGGGUGGUUAGACUGGAAGCAGGACAGGCCCAGGCAGGCUUCCCUGGGACCAGACCCGUGGCUGUCAGGCAACCCUGAGCAGAGCUCCCCCUCUUCCAGCUCAAGUGAGGGGACGCUGGGGGGCACACCUGUGGCCCCAGAGAGUCAGAAGGGAAGGUGCUGUGGUGUCCAGACCCCCAGGCUCCAACAAGCACCCUGGAGGCCACCCGGAGGGGAUGGGCUGGGGGAGUGCCCCCAGCAUCUGGAUGCUCACCUCAGGCACCCUGGUCCCAGGCGGAGACAAACUGUAGAGGGCAGUGACCUGCUUUGCAAAUGGCUGUUGCUACAAAGCAGGGUGAGUGACGGUAGAGCAGAGGCCACUCACAGAUACCCAAAGCCCUUUGGUGAAUGACAGCCGUCCCUCGCCCAACGGGGCUCAUGGCUCAGAAGCACAGAUCGGGCCUGGGAAGUACAGCCUUCUGUGGAGGGUGGAGGGUGGGGUGGCCAGAAGAGAAGGGCGGUCGUGUUCUGGGGGU
rnacentral:lncRNA from 1 species